rnacentral:rRNA from 1 species
AUUGAACGCUGGCGGCAUGCCUUACACAUGCAAGUCGAACGGCAGCAUGGAGAGCUUGCUCUCUGAUGGCGAGUGGCGAACGGGUGAGUAAUGCAUCGGAACGUACCGUGUAAUGGGGGAUAACGUAGCGAAAGUUACGCUAAUACCGCAUACGACCUGAGGGUGAAAGCAGGGGAUCGCAAGGCCUUGCGUUAUACGAGCGGCCGAUGUCAGAUUAGCUAGUUGGUGAGGUAAAGGCUCACCAAGGCGACGAUCUGUAGCGGGUCUGAGAGGAUGAUCCGCCACACUGGGACUGAGACACGGCCCAGACUCCUACGGGAGGCAGCAGUGGGGAAUUUUGGACAAUGGGGGCAACCCUGAUCCAGCCAUGCCGCGUGAGUGAAGAAGGCCUUCGGGUUGUAAAGCUCUUUCGGCCGGGAAGAAAUCGCACAGGCUAAUACUCUGUGUGGAUGACGGUACCGGCAUAAGAGGCACCGGCUAACUACGUGCCAGCCGCCGCAGUAA